rnacentral:rRNA from 1 species
UACGAGGGGGGCAAGCGUUGUUCGGAAUUAUUGGGCGUAAAGGGUGCGUAGGCGGCGCGGUAUGUCUCUUGUGAAAUCUCCAGGCUCAACUUGGAGUCUGCAAGGGAAACUGCCGUGCUUGAGUACUGGAGAGGUGAGUGGAAUUCCCGGUGUAGCGGUGAAAUGCGUAGAUAUCGGGGAGGAACACCUGUGGCGAAAGCGGCUCACUGGACAGUAACUGACGCUGAUGCACGAAAGCUAGGGGAGCAAACAGG